rnacentral:lncRNA from 1 species
CCGGACAUGGGAGGGCUCUCUUGGCUGCUGAAUUUGCUAUUUUUAGCAGCCCUCUUCAGCUAUAAAAGCCACCCUACGCUGCCCAUUUCAAAGCAUCCCUCAACAUCCCUCAUUCCACAACAUUCUCUCAUCCUCUCUUCACUUCUCUCAAAGUUUCCUCUCCAUUUUUCCAUCCCAUUUUUCCUUCCUCUUGUGCCGAUUUCCUUUCUUGAGAAAGAGGUGUUCUUUAGCCAUCUUGGGCAGCAAUCAAGGAUUCAUAGAAGCCUUGCUCGGUGAAGACAACGGAGACUAAGAACGGAGCAACAGUCAAGCUGCAGAGAAACACUGGAUUUGCUUUUUGUUCCCUUUCUUUUUAAUUUCUGUUGUUUUUAUGAUGAACAUAUCUAUGAAAAAUAUUGUUGUUGAAAUGGUUAUUUUAAUCAAUUUAGCUUGAAUUUAAU